GGUGGGGUAGCUCAGUCGGUAGAGCAGAGGACUGAAAAUCCUCGUGUCGGCGGUUCGAUUCCGUCCCCCACCA
rnacentral:tRNA from 2 species